CAGUACAUAGUUUAAUGGGAGAACACUUUUCGCGAGAAGAGGCGUGAGUUCGAGUCUCACUGUACUGG
rnacentral:tRNA from 1 species